AUGUCAUAACCUUGACAAAUGCUUCCAACACAGAAAGCAGCUCUGCAUCGAACUGUCUGCCUCAUCGAUUCCCGAGUGUGAUAAAAUAAUGAUAUGUGUCGCGUGAUGAGGACCACUAUACCAUGAUCACAAGCUCCCUCGAAACAUCUCUUCAAACAAGUCGGGCCGCAGUUCAUCGAAAGACUGUUCACCCAUCAAUAAAGCCAGGGAUGCGUGUGCACAUUUUUAACCGGUUUGGAGGUGAUCCAUCAUGUCUGCUAAAGACAGCUGCUUCGUAAAAGAUUGCGCCAUCGCUGCCUUUUUCCGCAGCCGACGAAAAUAAGCUCGGCAUGCUACAACACAGAUGCACAGUCAGCGAUCCUGAUAAUCUCUGUGCCGGUCAUCAUGGAUCACCUCGCAUGCCACCUAUAGUCCGUGUGU